GAUGCGAUGGCCGAAUGGCGAGGCGAGCGUCCGCAAAGCGCUUUUUAUCUCGGUUCGAAUCCGAGUCGCAUCU
rnacentral:tRNA from 1 species